rnacentral:rRNA from 1 species
CGGUAACAGGUCUUCGGAUGCUGACGAGUGGCGAACGGGUGAGUAAUACAUCGGAACGUGCCCGAUCGUGGGGGAUAACGGAGCGAAAGCUUUGCUAAUACCGCAUACGAUCUACGGAUGAAAGCAGGGGACCGCAAGGCCUUGCGCGGACGGAGCGGCCGAUGGCAGAUUAGGUAGUUGGUGGGAUAAAAGCUUACCAAGCCGACGAUCUGUAGCUGGUCUGAGAGGACGACCAGCCACACUGGGACUGAGACACGGCCCAGACUCCUACGGGAGGCAGCAGUGGGGAAUUUUGGACAAUGGGCGCAAGCCUGAUCCAGCCAUGCCGCGUGCAGGAUGAAGGCCUUCGGGUUGUAAACUGCUUUUGUACGGAACGAAAAGACUCUGGUUAAUACCUGGGGUCCAUGACGGUACCGUAAGAAUAAGCACCGGCUAACUACGUGCCAGCAGCCGCGGUAAUACGUAGGGUGCAAGCGUUAAUCGGAAUUACUGGGCGUAAAGCGUGCGCAGGCGGUUAUGUAAGACAGAUGUGAAAUCCCCGGGCUCAACCUGGGAACUGCAUUUGUGACUGCAUAGCUAGAGUACGGCAGAGGGGGAUGGAAUUCCGCGUGUAGCAGUGAAAUGCGUAGAUAUGCGGAGGAACACCGAUGGCGAAGGCAAUCCCCUGGGCCUGUACUGACGCUCAUGCACGAAAGCGU